rnacentral:rRNA from 1 species
UCUAGGGGAGGCAGCAGUGGGGAAUAUUGCGCAAUGGACGAAAGUCUGACGCAGCGACGCCUCGUGAGGGACGAAGGUCUUCGGAUUGUAAACCUCUUUCAGCGGGGACGAUGCGAAAGUGACGGUACCUGCAGAAGAAGCACCGGCUAACUAUGUGCCAGCAGCCGCGGUAAU